AAAUUGAGGGCUGAGCUAAGGAUUAUUUGUUAGACACGUCCACUACACACGAAAAGGGGGCGGCUGGGAGAGAAAUUGGACUUGAAUUUGGAGUCAAUUUUUGCGGCUGCUGGGAGGAGAAGUGAGCUGCCUAUUGCUGAAAUAUAUAUAUAUAAAUUGUUGGCAGCGAAGAUUAUUCGCUAUAUACGCAUGGAAAUUCGACUUCAAACAUAAAUAAGGCUAUUUGUUGCUGAAUUAUAGAUGUAUAUUGGAAAUAGCGAAGGAGAGAGGCAGUUGACGGCUGAAAAACAAAAUAAAAGAAGAAAAGGCAACGAGCACCACAGAGAUAGCAAAUUCCCGUUGCAAAACUUUAAUCAUGUUCCGUCAAUUAAUCCGAUGAUGUCUUCCAUGAAUUUAUCUUGCU
rnacentral:lncRNA from 1 species